rnacentral:rRNA from 1 species
GAUGAACGCUGGCGGCGUGCCUAAUACAUGCAAGUCGAGCGAACAGACGAGGAGCUUGCUCCUCUGACGUUACCGGCGGACGGGUGAGUAACACGUGGAUAACCUACCUAUAAGACUGGGAUAACUUCGGGAAACCGGAGCUAAUACCGGAUAAUAUAUUGAACCGCAUGGUUCAAUAGUGAAAGACGGUUUUGCUGUCACUUAUAGAUGGAUCCGCGCCGCAUUAGCUAGUUGGUAAGGUAACGGCUUACCAAGGCAACGAUGCGUAGCCGACCUGAGAGGGUGAUCGGCCACACUGGAACUGAGACACGGUCCAGACUCCUACGGGAGGCAGCAGUAGGGAAUCUUCCGCAAAGGGCGAAAGCCUGACGGAGCAACGCCGCGUGAGUGAUGAAGGUCUUCGGAUCGUAAAACUCUGUUAUUAGGGAAGAACAAAUGUGUAAGUAACUAUGCACGUCUUGACGGUACCUAAUCAGAAAGCCACGGCUAACUACGUG